UAAGGAAUAUUGCUCAAUGGGAGAAAUCCUGAAGCAGCAACGCCGCGUGGAGGAUGAAGGGUCUAUGACUUGUAAACUCCUGUAAAGAAGGAAAAAAUUCCCAUUAGAUGGGAGAUGAUGGUACUUCUGGAGUAAGCCCCGGCUAACUACGUGCCAGCAGCCGCGGUAAUACGUAGGGGGCAAGCGUUGUCCGGAUUUACUGGGUGUAAAGGGUGCUCAGGCGGAUUUGUAAGUCAGAGGUGAAAUCUUACAGCUUAACUGUGAAACUGCCUGUGAUACUGCAAGCCUAGAGUAUGGAAGAGAGUGAUGGAAUAUCUGGUGUUGCAGUUAAAUGCGUAGAUAUCAGAUAUAACACCAAUGGCGAAGGCAGUCACUUGGUCCAUUACUGACGCUAAAGCACGAAAGCGUGGGUAGCAAACA
rnacentral:rRNA from 1 species